rnacentral:rRNA from 1 species
AUUGAACGCUGGCGGCAUGCCUUACACAUGCAAGUCGAACGGCAGCGGACCUUCGGGUGCCGGCGAGUGGCGAACGGGUGAGUAAUAUAUCGGAACGUACCUUUCAGUGGGGGAUAACGUAGCGAAAGUUACGCUAAUACCGCAUAUUCUGUGAGCAGGAAAGCAGGGGAUCGCAAGACCUUGCGCUGAUUGAGCGGCCGAUAUCAGAUUUAGCUAGUUGGUGAGGUAAAGGCUCACCAAGGCGACGAUCUGUAGCGGGUCUGAGAGGAUGAUCCGCACACUGGAACUGAGACACGGUCCAGACUCCUACGGGAGGCAGCAGUGGGGAAUUUUGGACAAUGGGCGCAAGCCUGAUCCAGCCAUGCCGCGUGAGUGAAGAAGGCC